UUUAUGGAGAGUUUGAUCCUGGCUCAGGAUGAACGCUGGCGGCGUGCCUAAUACAUGCAAGUCGAGCGAACGGACGAGAAGCUUGCUUCUCUGAUGUUAGCGGCGGACGGGUGAGUAACACGUGGAUAACCUACCUAUAAGACUGGGAUAACUUCGGGAAACCGGAGCUAAUACCGGAUAAUAUUUUGAACCGCAUGGUUCAAAAGUGAAAGACGGUCUUGCUGUCACUUAUAGAUGGAUCCGCGCUGCAUUAGCUAGUUGGUAAGGUAACGGCUUACCAAGGCAACGAUGCAUAGCCGACCUGAGAGGGUGAUCGGCCACACUGGAACUGAGACACGGUCCAGACUCCUACGGGAGGCAGCAGUAGGGAAUCUUCCGCAAUGGGCGAAAGCCUGACGGAGCAACGCCGCGUGAGUGAUGAAGGUCUUCGGAUCGUAAAACUCUGUUAUUAGGGAA
rnacentral:rRNA from 1 species